GAGUUUGAUCGUGGCUCAGGACGAACGCUGGCGGCGCGCUUAACACAUGCAAGUCGAGCGAGAACCUUUCCUUCGGGAUUGGGGACAGCGGCGAACGGGUGAGUAACACGUGGGUAAUCUGCCCUUGACAUCGGGAUAGCCCGGGGAAACCCGGAUUAAUACCGAAUAGCCUCCGGAGCCUUCGGGCGCCGGAGAAAAGGUAGCUUCGGCCUCUGGUCAAGGAUGAGCCCGCGGCGGAUUAGCUUGUUGGCGGGGUAACGGCCCACCAAGGCGACGAUCCGUAGCUGGUCUGAGAGGACGAUCAGCCACACUGGGACUGAGACACGGCCCAGACUCCUACGGGAGGCAGCAGUGGGGAAUCUUGCGCAAAUGCGGGAAACCGUGACGCAGCGACGCCGCGUGGGGGAAGAA
rnacentral:rRNA from 1 species